UCGAACUCGGCGAGGCUCCUAUUCGGAGAU
rnacentral:sRNA from 1 species